AGCAGCCGCGGUAAUUCCAGCUCCAAUAGCGUAUAUUAAAGUUGUUGCAGUUAAAAAGCUCGUAGUUGAAUUUCAGGCCUGGCUGGACGGUCCGCCCUUCGGGUGAGUACUGUCUGUGGUCGGGUCCUACCUUCUGGCGAAGCGUCAUGGCCUUAACCGGCCGUGGCGGGGAACCAGGACUUUUACUGUGAAAAAAUUAGAGUGUUCAAAGCAGGCAAAUCGCUUGGAUACAUUAGCAUGGAAUAAUGGAAUAGGACGAUGGUUCUAUUUGUUGGUUUCUAGGACCGUUGUAAUGAUUAAUAGGGAUAGUUGGGGGCAUUAGUAUUCAAUUGUCAGAGGUGAAAUUCUUGGAUUUAUUGAAGACUAACUACUGCGAAAGCAUCUGCCAAGGAUGUUUUCAUUAAUCAAGAACGAAAGUUAGGGGAUCGAAGACGAUCAGAUACCGUCGUAGUCUUAACCAUAAACUAUGCCGACUAGGAAUCGGGCGAUGUUGACAAAAUGACGCGCUCGGCACCUCAU
rnacentral:rRNA from 1 species